rnacentral:rRNA from 1 species
GACGAACGCUGGCGGCGUGCUUAACACAUGCAAGUCGAACGGAAAGGCCCUGCUUUUGUGGGGUGCUCGAGUGGCGAACGGGUGAGUAACACGUGAGUAACCUGCCCUUGACUGUGGGAUAAAUUAAGGAAACUGGGGCUAAUACCGGAUAGGAGCUCCUGAUGCAUGGUGGGGGUUGGAAAGUUUCGGCGGUUGGGGAUGGACUCGCGGCGGAUCAGCUUGUUGGUGGGGUAGUGGCUUACCAAGGCUUUGACGGGUAGCCGGCCUGAGAGGGUGACCGGCCACAUUGGGACUGAGAUACGUCCCAGACUCCUACGGGAGGCAGCAGUGGGGAAUAUUGCACAAUGGGCGGAAGCCUGAUGCAGCAACGCCGCGUGCGGGAUGACGGCCUUCGGGUUGUAAACCGCUUUCGCCUGUGACGAAGCGUGAGUGACGGUAAUGGGUAAACAAGCACCGGCUAACUACGUG